GGUUAAGCGACUAAGCGUACACGGUGGAUGCCCUGGCAGUCAGAGGCGAUGAAGGACGUGCUAAUCUGCGAAAAGCGCCGGCGAGGUGAUAUGAACCCUUGACCCGGCGAUGUCCGAAUGGGGAAACCCAGUGUGUUCCGACACACUAUCGUUAACUGAAUACAUAGGUUAACGA
rnacentral:rRNA from 1 species